UCGAGGGGCAGCACAGGUAGCAAUACUGGGUGGCGACCGGCGCACGGGUGCGUAACACGUAUAUAAUCUGCCCUUAUCUGGGAAAUAGCCCGGAGAAAUUCGGAUUAAUGUCCCAUAACAUUGAGAUGUGGCAUCACAUUACAAUUAAAGCUCAGGCGGAUAAGGAUGAAUAUGCGACUGAUUAGUUAGUUGGUGAGGUAACGGCUCACCAAGACAACGAUCAGUAGGGGUACUGAGAGGUUAAACUCCCACACUGGUACUGAGACACGGACCAGACUCCUACGGGAGGCAGCAGUAAGGAAUAUUGGACAAUGGAGGCAACUCUGAUCCAGCCAUGCCGCGUGCAGGAAGAAGGCGCUACGCGUUGUAAACUGCUUUUAUAACAGAGAAAACCUAUGUACGUGUACGUAGUUGAUAGUAUGUUAAGAAUAAGCAUCGGCUAACUUCGUGCCAGCAGCCGCGGUAAUACGAAGGAUGCAAGCGUUAUCCGGAUUUAUUGGGUUUAAAGGGUGCGUAGGCGGUCUUAUAAGUCAGUGGUGAAAUCCUAUCGCUUAACGAUAGACGUGCCAUUGAUACUGUAGGACUUGAGUACAGAUGCCGUUGGCGGAAUGUGUCAUGUAGCGGUGAAAUGCAUAGAUAUGACA
rnacentral:rRNA from 1 species